CUUACUGAAGAACCAUUAUUUUGCUGAAAUGGUUCUUUGUCUUGGCAAAAGGGUUCUUUAAUUCCCGCCUUUUUUAUUUUAAAUUUAGUCAGUUAUUUUCAAGCUGCCUCCUGAUUAUUUUCACCCGUAAAAGCCCUGAAUCAUCAGUCCUGCUGAACUGCCUGCAGACUAACAACACAAACGGGUAAGAGAGUAAAAUAAUCAUCAUUUACUGUUAAAAACAUUUUAAAAUUGAAGUUUGUGUGUUCUUAUCGUAAUUUAUUUCUUUUAUAACAGGUAAACUUUAUACUGUAAGCUUCAUUCUCUUUAAAGCAGGUAAGCUUCAUACUGUUUUAAAUGAUAUAUUUAGGCAACUCUGCUUUAACAAUGACUUAGGAUAAUGAUUUGUUAAAAUGUUAAAAAGCACAUGCAUGUAUAUUGUAAAUGAAGUUUAUUAAACUAAUUAUGAAAAGAAUGUGGUACAACAUGUUUUUUAUUGAUAUUUCAGAGUUUUUGUAUGCAAGGUAAUCUUGCUGGGAGUGAAGGCAGUGCGUAUGACCACUUGAUGAGAGACAUAUCCUGUUUUUAAAGGUGAUGUGUGCAUGUUUCUUUCAAUGCUGACACUAAAAUAAUAGUUAAAAUAAUAAGCUUUAUACUGUUUUAAAUGAUAUAUUUAGGGGACUCUGCUUUAACAAUGACUUAGGAUAAUGAUUUCUUAAAGUGUUAAAAAGCAUAUACAUGUAUAUUGUACAGAACAUGAAGUUUAUUAAACUAAUUAUCAAAAGAAUGUGGUACAACGUGUUUUUUUAAUUGAUAUUUCAGAGUUUUUGUAUGUGAUGUAAUCUUGCUGGGAGUGAAGGCAGUGCGUAUGACCGGUUGAUGAGAGACACAUCCUGUUUUUAAAGGUGGAUCACAGCUCAAAAAAGUUGAAUAGCGGCAGGCUGGCCAUUGGCUUGAUAACAAUGGUUUAUGAAUAAAUCUUUCACCAACCAUUCACGUAUUUACUGACAAAAGAGACCCAAAUCUUGUUCGGCUUGAUGCUCAACCUUGUAUGAAGAUGACCACAGCCAGGUGAUGGGAAUCUGUGGUAAUCGCUGCCUGCAUCUCAAGAUCAACAUGACAACAGCAGACCAUCUCUUAUCUUACUCUUAUCUUACUAAAUAUUCAAUGUCACUGCCACAAAACAAAGAACAUUGGAUGGAGUAUUGGAGUAUGUACUGUACAAUGAUCCAGCAAACUAAAUAUGGACUUUUUUGUUAGCUUUUACAAACAUUGACACAAUCCUAUUGACUUUUAUUUUUACAGUUAGUAAUGUAUUAUUAACAUCCCAUUCAUUUGUAUUCUAUGCUGUCUAUCUGUUUGUGCUAAAGUGUUUACAUCUGAAUGUGUAAUGAAAAAGUGAAAAUAAAAGUAUUUUUCUGAUGUCUUGAAGUUCUGUUUUUUAAACUGUUAAACCUUAUAAAGUGCUAUAAAUAAAUAAAAAAUAUAUAUAUUAACAAAAAUAAUCCUCCUGACUGCUGAUAAAUUAAAGGGUUC